rnacentral:rRNA from 1 species
CCGGCGAGGGGAGUGAAAAAGAACCUGAAACCGUGUACGUACAAGCAGUGGGAGCACCCUUUGGGGUGUGACUGCGUACCUUUUGUAUAAUGGGUCAGCGACUUAUAUUCUGUAGCAAGGUUAACCGUAUAGGGGAGCCGUAGGGAAACCGAGUCUUAACCGGGCGUUAAGUUGCAGGGUAUAGACCCGAAACCCGGUGAUCUAGCCAUGGGCAGG